CGAAUUCCUCGUCGUCGCUCAACUCAAACGGAAGUUUGACACAAUCGGCGAACGGACAGGAAGUGAAUUUGCUCCGACAGUUCUUCCGCCGCAUUCCAUUUUGUAGCAAACAGCACUGUGUCCAGAGAAGUACUGACCAACAGGAGUGCAGCGGUUCAGAUCCCUCAGGUUGUACAGUUUAUCAGCCAGUUUAACCAGCUUGGCCUGUUGGCUGCAGUGAGGUGCGUGUUCCACCUGUAGACGCUUCCUCUCCUGCUUGGGCAGGCUCUUGUCAUCCGUCACCUCCUGAACAAUGCGAGCCACGGUUACCCCAAAUUUAGCUUCCAGCUCUGCGGGGGUGGUGUCGGUGUCUUCUACUGUAUCAUGAAGCAGGGCGGCCUGCA